UACGUAGGGGGCUAGCGUUGUCCGGAUUUAUUGGGCGUAAAGAGCGUGUAGGCGGCCAGGUAGGUCUGCUGUGAAAACUCGAGGCUCAACCUCGAGACGGCGGCGGAAACCAUCUGGCUAGAGUCCGGAAGAGGAGAGUGGAAUUCCUGGUGUAGCGGUGAAAUGCGCAGAUAUCAGGAAGAACACCCGUGGCGAAGGCGGCUCCCUGGGCCGGUACUGACGCUGAGACGCGAAAGCGUGGGGAGCGAACAGG
rnacentral:rRNA from 1 species